UAGUGUUACAGCUCUUUUAGAAUUUGUCUAGUAGGUUUUCCGGCGUUGGCUGGGAAGCCCUU
rnacentral:snRNA from 1 species